GCGGAGCCACAAUGGGGGCAGUGGGGGCAUCUGCCCCCACUCCCCCAUCCCUUAGAUAUUGUAUAUAUAUAACAUAUACCAACAAUUAAUCAUUUGCUUAAUGAUAAG